ensembl:lncRNA
UUCCACUAGCGCUAUCAUUUAUCUCCUGCUUCCACGAUGGGCUACGUUUGCAUUCUCUUCGUUCUUUCUUUGACAAUAUCAACCGGGGGAGGCGUGAUCAAGGGAUGUCAAUUCAGCGGUGUGUGUGCCCUGGGACAAGUCGGAGCUUGCUGCGAAGGCGAUUUGUGUAACCUUGGGAAUACCAGCAAUAGCAUCGGAUCAAGCUUCAUUCUCCUGCUGUUGUCUACUGCUGCACUGUAUUUCCUCUGAUCUCCUGAAAUCCUGUUCAUGGAGACUAUAUCCUGUUUGCGUUUAGAUUACAUUUAGGGCAUUUAGCAGACGCUUUAUCCAAAGCGACGUACAAUAAUUACAUUUGUCAUAAGAAAGAGGAACACUGUCGGUAUAGUAAGGAUGUUUCUACAUUUCUGAAGAAGAAUUUCUACGAAGUUCCUAAGAAUAUUCUUUACUGCAAUUCCUCAACAACUUCCUAAUAACGUGUUAAUUGUUCCAAUUUAGUUGUUUUUUUAAAGGGACACUGUAAAAAUUACUCCCAUCUAGUGGUACAAUUGUAUAUUGCAUUCAAACUAAUAGUGCUCGCUUGUUCAAAAACUACGGUGGGCAGUAUGUGCCAAGAAGCUGUGUCAUGACAUCCAGUACUACCUCAUCGAGUCAUUGGAGUGAUGAUGAGGUUCGUUAUUUCAAACAAAUAUCAAACUGCAUUGAAUCAUUAGUGUAAGCCAGUGAUUUUCAACCUUUUUUGAGCCGCGGCACACUUUUUACAUUUACAAGAUCCUUGGGCACACCAAAAUGACACAAAAUGACACUCUAACACAGUUCAUAUAAUACAUAUUGUAUUGGCGAUUUGUCCUCAAUAAAACAAUAACUUGAAAAUUAAGAAAUCAAACAAAGCAACGUAAUCAAAAUAGCCACUGUGGCACCAGGGGGGACGAAUCUUACGCAGUGCAGGGGAAAGAGUCAACUGUCCAGUCGUGAAUUUAGAUUUCUGCAGGUUUAUUUUCCGAUCUUCCAAGCAAACAAAACAAAUGUGCAACAGUGUGAACCAGCAGCCUCACUCCUUUGUCUCUCUCGUACAGCUGGUAAAAAACCAUGACCUUCUCAGUGCCUGUCUUACCUAUGUCCGCCACCUCUAUAAAUAGGCUAUAGUAAUAACUUCAAAACAAAAGCAUAAACAAACUCAAAUUAACUAAUUUAUAAUACAAACGAGAAAAUAAACAAAAGUCAUCUUAUUUUAUAUUAAGCAAACAAACUAAAUACAUGUUUUACAAUUAAAUCCAAGAACUUCAUAGCUCCAACACAUAUAGUUAAUAAUAUAGUUUCUAAAUGUAUUUAUACUCACUUAGUGUGAAACCUGGGCCUGUUUCGAUGAACACAAAAUGGAUAUCCUGGCAGGAAUGGUAGGAAGACACACACAAAGCUCUUCCUCAACAGCUCUCAGUCUCUCUCUGUUUAAAUGUUCAAUUACCAUUAGGGCUGGCCCGAAUGCCAUUUUUCAGGCAUCGAAUACUCGUUGGUUUUUACGAGCGAAUAUUCGAAUACUCGUUCCAGAAAAAAACACCAUCAAAAACAACAUUAAUAAUCCUUAUAUACUCCCUGGAACCGAUUUUGACAGUAUCUGCAUAUUUUGUUGAAUAUGUAAUAGCUUUUGAACGUUAAUUAGUAGGCCUAAGUAGGUUGAAGUUCUUUAGUUUUUCCCCGUGAAAGCGAACAGCUGUUGUUCCGUUCCAAAUCAGCUGUCCUCUGCCAUCUCAGCCCUUACGGGAGCUUCUCAAUUCAUCCUGGAACGUGCAUCUUUUCAGGGAAUUUGUACAAUAAAUCCAUAACAAAUACCGAAUAUUGAUUGUCUUAUGUGUCCAUAUUAUAUCCAUUAUAUAAUAGUAUCAAAU